UUCCCCCCCGGGGCCCCGGGCCCGUCCCGCCGCCCCCGCCCGCCUAAGGGAGGCAGCAGUGGGGAAUAUUGCGCAAUGGGCGAAAGCCUGACGCAGCGACGCCGCGUGAGGGACGAAGGUCUUCGGAUUGUAAACCUCUUUCAGCAGGGACGAAGCGAAAGUGAAG
rnacentral:rRNA from 1 species